AGAGUUUGAUCAUGGCUCAGGACGAACGCUGGCGGCGUGCUUAACACAUGCAAGUCAAGGGGGCCCGCAAGGGCAACCGGCGAACGGGUGCGUAACACGUGAGCAACCUGCCUUGAAGUGGGGGAUAGCCGGCCCAACGGCCGGGUAAUACCGCAUACGUUCCUUUGGUGGCAUCACUGGGGGAAGAAACGCUUGACGGCUUCAAGAGGGGCUCGCGGCCUAUCAGCUAGUUGGUGGGGUCACGGCUUACCAAGGCGACGACGGGUAGCUGGUCUGAGAGGAUGGCCAGCCACAUUGGGACUGAGAAACGGCCCAGACUCCUACGGGAGGCAGCAGUGGGGAAUCUUGCGCAAUGGCCGAGAGGCUGACGCAGCGACGCCGCGUGGGGGAUGACGCAUUUCGGUGUGUAAACCCCUGUUGCUCGGGACGAACGAUCCUUUUCGAGGGAUGUGACGGUACCGAGUGAGGAAGCACCGGCUAACUCCGUGCCAGCAGCCGCGGUA
rnacentral:rRNA from 1 species